AAGAAAUGUGUCGUCUUGUGCACAAGCAGAAGGUCAAAAAAUGACCGACCACCUGCUAGUGGUGGCCAGAAGAUGAUGGGGAUUUUGCAGAGUUGGCUUUAGCAGAUGAAGAGGCCUUGCUUUCUGAACACCAGGACAAUAUUUGGAGGAAAGCAUCGCCAAUUACUCCCUGAGCUUAGCGGUACAGAACCAGAACCGAGCUCCGUGGGAUACAGACACAAGGAGAGCAACAGGGAAUGAUGACCAAGCCGUGGAUGGAGCAUAUGCACACUCCUGGGACAUGAGGAGUCCAGUGGGCACCCAGCUCCUGUCCACCAUACUGGAGCCGGGGUUGGGGAGUAGUUUGCCUCCUGA
rnacentral:lncRNA from 1 species